CAGCCGCCGCGGUAAUACAGAGGGUGCGAGCGUUAAUCGGAUUUACUGGGCGUAAAGCGUGCGUAGGCGGCUUCUUAAGUCGGAUGUGAAAUCCCUGAGCUUAACUUAGGAAUUGCAUUCGAUACUGGGAAGCUAGAGUAUGGGAGAGGAUGGUAGAAUUCCAGGUGUAGCGGUGAAAUGCGUAGAGAUCUGGAGGAAUACCGAUGGCGAAGGCAGCCAUCUGGCCUAAUACUGACGCUGAGGUACGAAAGCAUGGGGAGCAAACAGGAUUAGAUACCCGGGUAGUCUGUCUCUUAUACAC
rnacentral:rRNA from 1 species